rnacentral:sRNA from 1 species
UUCACACCUAUUCACCCUUCCUUGCUUGCCUCCAACGACGGUUCGCCUUUCUCUCCGGCGGCGGCUGACAAGAAGAAGAAGGGCAAAUUCGGAACCAAAAAGGGCCCCGCCAUUCCUGACUAUGUUCAUGUUCCUGAAACUGUCUUCUCACUCUCCGACAAACCCUUCUGCACUUUCCAAGGACAUUUGGAUGAUGUUUUAGAUUUGUCAUGGUCGCGAUCUAAGCUACUUCUCUCAUCUUCAAUGGAUAAAACGGUCAGAUUAUGGAACUU